rnacentral:lncRNA from 1 species
UCCUUCUGUUGUUAGAACUGCUUUUCAGUACUUCUAACAAGAUAACCACAAUGGAAUGACAAAAGAGAAAUGAAUCAGUAUUUUGUCUUGGACAAUUAUACGUAGUUCUUUGUAGAGUGUGUAGCGUUUAGUGAAAUACAUUACCCCUCUUUGAGAGACAUCAUACAAACAGCGUCUAAAUAAAACCUUUUCUCUCUUAUAUAUUAUACGGUUGUGUUUUCUCUUUAUUUCUUUUGGCACACAUUUUGGCUUCUUUUGUAAGGUGACCGUGCGGCGUUCAAAAAGGGGACAUUUGUCACCAUCUCCUUUACGUACGGUCGCUCUACAAGUGCAUCCAUUUCUUUCUUGAUGUUAUGACAAAGACUAGUAAAUAACUACUUACAACUUAGAAUAACGUAGAGAGGUCACAAUAGUAAUUGCCAGAGACAUAUUUUUCUAAGAUAUUCUCACCUUCAGUUCUAUCUACUUGGACAUUACACCCUUUACAGAAUCAAACGUACCCUCGCUCGCGUACACACACACACACAUUGGUUCCAAUGCUGGCCCAAGGCCAGCAAUUUGGGUGGAGGGGGAGGUACUAAGACGAUUAUAUCGACCCUAGUAUUCAACGGGCACUAAUUUUAUCGACCCCGAAAGGAUGAAAAGCAAAGUCGACCUUGGCGAAAUUUGAUCUCAGAAUGUAUAGGCGGACAAAAUGCGUCCGGGCUGCAAGCGAUUCGGCCAUCUCGCCGCCUUACACACACGCACACAUUACGAUCAGAUGAUAUGAUAAUGCAAGGACAAAAUGCUUACAAAGAAAAUGAGUUUCAGUAAAUGAAACAGAACUUUACUAACACAGGAUGUGUACCAGCCGCCUUAUGUGUUUGCAGAUAAUGGUUUCACAAGGCCGACAGCUUUUAGUGGGGCGGGGGGAGGCGUAAGUCGGUUGCAUCGGCCCUAGCGUUAGGCUGGUGUUUUAUCUUAUCGACCUCGAAAGGACGAAAGACAAAGUCGACCUCCCCAGCAUUUGAAUUUAGAACGCAAACAGCCGAAAGAAAUGAAGCUAAGCAUUUUGUACAGCACGGUAACGAUUCUGCCGGCCCACAAUCUUAAUUUGUUUACAAAUAAUGCAAAAACAGAAACAGAUAAAGUCAGGUCGAAUACGAGGUUAUUGACGUAAGAAUAUUUGUCUAUUGUUUACAAUGGUCGAUUUUAGCAUUUUAUAUGCCAGAACUAAUUAUAACUGAUCUUCAUACUAUCUAGUUACAAUAAUAUGAAGUAUUUUUAUGCAUAUUUUUUCUUGCACGAUAAUUUGCAGAGCAAAAAAUUGUGUUGAAAUACCUGUGCAACAAGAAACCUUUUCGUAUUUUACUGGUUUUAGUUGGAGCAACCACAAAACACUUUUUGAUAAUACCCAUUACAAAACUAAGCGAAUUCAACAAGAUAAAGCCAGCUUAUGUCGAGCAGAAGGAAUAUAGUGCCAUCGGAUCUUUUCGGUUUGAACGGCAGUUUUUUCUAGCGGUGUCAUAUAAAAUUGUCAGCCAUAAUUAUGACCCUACUAUCGAUCUAUUGCAUUUCAAUCUGUUUUAGGGUUAGGGUUAGGGGUGGGGGGAGGGUAUCUUUUUUCUUCAGAAAUGUAAAUAAACUCAAUCUGUUUCUUAAACGAGGGAUAUAUUCAUACGGCACAGAAUGUUUUCACCUCAAUAGACGUCAUUGAUUAGUUGAAAUUACAGAAAUUGAAGAAAAAAAAUAUCUUACAAACUAUAGAAUUUUCUCAAUAAAGCCAAGAGAAAAAGAUGUUUUAUAAACACAUUUUACCAGUAUAUGAAGUUUAAAAGUGUUUACUUACGUGGAAAUUAUUUUUAAAAAACUGCCGUUCAAACCGAAAAGAUCCGUGCCACCUAAUCAGUAAUCCCCUUUUGAUUAGCAGCCAAAAUCUAUGUUUAUAUUGUAAGGCACAGGUUCGUACAUUUAUUUCCUGUUUCAGAAAGAAGAUUGUCUGCUUUUUAAUAACGUUAACAUAUCUAUCCAGGUAAUCUAUGCAGGUAAUCGUUUGAUAGAUAAAAGACCGAAAAAUCUUAUGCAAUUAUAGGUUAUCAAAUAAUUUUAAAUCACGAAGGUGACAUGUUGUAAAUAACCGGUUAUGAAGAUUGAACAAUACGGAUUUAAGAUGGAACUUUAAUGAAACUGAGCAGUUCGGUAAAAAAAGACCGAUAGAAUAAGUAGUAGGCUUACAAAGAAUAAGUCCUGGGGUCGAUUUGCUCGACUAAGGCGGUGCUCCAGUAUGGCCACAGUCAAAUGAUUGAAACAAGUAAAAGAAUUUAAAAAUAUAUAUAUUUAUAUAUAUAUAUAUAUAUAUAUAUAUAUAUAUAUAUAUAUAUAUAUAUAUAUAUAUAUAUAUAUAUAUAUAUAUAUAUAUAUAUAUAUAUAUAUAUAUAUAUAUAUAUAUAUAUAUAUAUAUAUAUAUAUAUAUAUAUAUAUAUAUAUAUAUAUAUAUAUAUAUAUAUAUAUAUAUAUAUAUAUAUAUAUAUAUAUAUAUAUAUAUAUAUAUAUAUAUAUAUAUAUAUAUAUAUAUAUAUAUAUAUAUAUAUAUAUAUAUAUAUAUAUAUAUAUAUAUAUAUAUAUAUAUAUAUAUAUAUAUAUAUAUAUAUAUAUAUAUAUAUAUAUAUAUAUAUAUAUAUAUAUAUAUAUAUAUAUAUAUAUAUAUAUAUAUAUAUAUAUAUAUAUAUAUAUAUAUAUAUAUAUAUAUAUAUAUAUAUAUAUAUAUAUAUAUAUAUAUAUAUAUAUAUAUAUAUAUAUAUAUAUAUAUAUAUAUAUAUAUAUAUAUAUAUAUAUAUAUAUAUAUAUAUAUAUAUAUAUAUAUAUAUAUAUAUAUAUAUAUAUAUAUAUAUAUAUAUAUAUAUAUAUAUAUAUAUAUAUAUAUAUAUAUAUAUAUAUAUAUAUAUAUAUAUAUAUAUAUAUAUAUAUAUAUAUAUAUAUAUAUAUAUAUAUAUAUAUAUAUAUAUAUAUAUAUAUAUAUAUAUAUAUAUAUAUAUAUAUUUAUAUAUAUUUAUAUAUAUAUAUUUAUAUAUAUAUAUAUAUUUAUAUAUAUAUAUAUAUUUAUAUAUCAGAAAUUAUUUAUUUAUCAGAAUAUAUAUUUAUCAGAAAAAUAAAAAGAACAAACGAAAAAAUUAACAAACUAAAGUACUGCCAACAGCAACACACACAUUCGACGGCUAUCGCACUGCUUGAAUCCAAAAAAUAUAACCUCCAACAAUGCAUGAAGUCCCUCAUCAAUAACCAAAGAUCAGCUGAGGAGAAGUGGGCCAUUGAAAAAAUCAAACUCAACCCCAAAGUGUUCUUUUCAUUUGCGAGGAAACGCAGGGUCACUGUCUCCACUGUAGGCCCUCUAAUUGACGAAACUGGCACUCUCCAAGAUAAUGCCAAAUCCAUGGCCGAGAUACUGCAGAAACAAUACUGCUCUGUUUUCAGCAAUCCUGAUAUGGCCGAUCUGGGCUGUAUCAGUGAUGUCAACCCCCAACACACUAUAUCGGACAUAACGUUUAGUGCCCCUGAUGUCUUAGCGGCGAUAAACGAAAUAAAACACAAUUCAGCAGUAGGCCCCGAUAGGUUCCCUGCUUGUGUCCUGAAGGUGUGUCGACACCAACUUGCAUCUCCCCUUGCUAAUCUGUGGAGAAACUCACUGGAUGCUGGCUAUAUUCCAAAAAACCUUCUGUCCCAGUCUGUUGUCCCAGUUUUCAAAAAGGGAAACAAGUCCCUUGCAGUGAAUUACCGUCCGAUCUCACUCACCUCUCAUAUCAUCAAGGUAUUUGAGAGGGUGGUGAGAUCUCAAAUAACCCAAUUUCUGGAAAGCAACAGACGGCUGAUCUCCAACCAACAUGGGUUCCGUAAUGGAAGGGACUGCCUAACGCAGCUCCUGCAUCACUUUGAGGACAUUUUGAGAGCUUUGGGAGAGGGCUCCAACACCGAUGUCAUCUACCUUGAUUUCAGUAAGGCCUUCGACAGGGUCGAUCACAAGAUCCUAUUGAAAAAACUAUCCAACAUUGGUGUCUCUGGAAAGUUACUGAAAUGGAUUAAGUGUUUCCUGACAGACAGAUCUCAACAUGUUGUAGUUGAAGGGGUAAAAUCAAGCCCAGCCAAAGUCAGUAGUGGCGUUCCGCAAGGCACUGUGCUGGGCCCACUUCUUUUCAUCAUUUACAUUAAUGACAUUAAUGACAUCAUCAAGCACAGCAACAUAAAAAUCUUUGCAGAUGACUCCAAGCUACAGAAGGUCAUAAAUGAGGCGAGUGACCGGACAUGCCUUCAGUCAGAUCUACUGGCUGUUAUCCAAUGGGCAGAAAAAAACAAUAUGCUGCUGAACGAGGAUAAAUUUGAGCUAAUCCACUUUGGAAAAGAGGAUGCCCUGAAACUCCCAUACUCCCUUUCUUCAGGUGAAACUCUCGCGGCGUCCAACAACAUCAGAGACUUGGGAGUAAUUGUGGACAACAACGUAAGCUGGGCCACUCAUAUAAACACCAAAGUUGACAUGGCCCGCAGAAUGUGUUCCUGGAUUCUCAGAACUUUCCAGUCGAGAGAUAUCCACACCAUUAUCCUUCUCUUCUCCACUUUUGCCCGACCCCACCUUGAAUACUGUUGUCCACUGUGGUCUCCCCACACAAUACAAGGUAUCAUAAAAGUCGAAGCACCUCAAAGGGCAAUCACAAAAAAGAUAGAUGGCAUGACAGGCCUCGACUAUUGGGGUCGACUAGAAAAGCUAAAACUCUAUUCUCUCCAACGUCGUCGUGAGCGCUACAUCAUCUGCAUGAUGUGGAAAAUAUUCCAUCAGCAUUGCCCAAAUGAUGUUGGCAUCACCUUUAAGGUACAUCCAAGGCUUGGGCCCCGUGCCAUCCGCCCAAAACAAAAAUCGCACUCUCAUCUCAUAACAACAAAACGGCACAAUUAUUUCACCUCAAUUGGCCCCGCUCUCUUUAACAUUACACCAAAACACAUUAAAACAGAAACUGACCCUAUAGGGUUCAAGAAGUCUUUGGACAGAUUCCUUCAAGAAAUCCCGGAUAAACCCCCUACACCCGGAUAUGUCUCUGUAAACAAUAACUCUCUACUUGAGUGGGCCAUAGUGCCCAAAUUCUGACUUGAAAGACUUCACCAGGUGGUGCUAUUAAGUUAGACAUGGCCUGGGCCAAUAAUGGCCGAAACCUAUCAAAGUAUCAAAGUAUCAAAGUAUAUAUAUAUAUAUUUAUAUAUAUAUAUAUAUAUAUAUAUAUAUAUAUAUAUAUAUAUAUAUAUAUAUAUAUAUAUAUAUAUAUAUAUAUAUAUAUAUAUAUAUUUUAUAUAUAUAUAUUUAUAUAUAUAUAUAUAUAUAUAUAUAUAUAUAUAUAUAUAUAUAUAUAUAUAUAUAUAUAUAUAUAUAUAUAUAUAUAUAUAUAUAUAUAUAUAUAUAUAUAUAUAUAUAUAUAUAUAUAUAUAUAUAUAUAUAUAUAUAUAUAUAUAUAUAUAUAUAUAUAUAUAUAUAUAUAUAUAUAUAUAUAUAUAUAUAUAUAUAUAUAUAUAUAUAUAUAUAUAUAUAUAUAUAUAUAUAUAUAUAUAUAUUUAUAUAUAUAUAUAUAUAUAUAUAUAUAUAUAUAUAUAUAUAUAUAUAUAUAUAUAUAUAUAUAUAUAUAUAUAUAUAUAUAUAUAUAUAUAUAUAUAUAUAUAUAUAUAUAUAUAUAUAUGUGCCCCAGCAUGGCCACAGCUCAUAAGCUGAAACUAGAAUCAAUCAAUCAAUAAAUAUAUAUAUAUAUAUAUAUAUAUAUAUAAUAUACUACAGAAUAAAUAAAUCUACAAAUUCCACUCAACAGCACAUGUACAGUUAAAAUGUUAUUAAUUACCCAGGACAAUCUCAAGCAUGUUUUAUUUCUUAUCUGUUUGUUUGUUUUUCAUAUAUAAAAUCUCCCUGUCGACAAUUCCGAUUUGCAUAAAUAAUGCAUUCCCAGCAGCUAUUUCAUUUAAUUGAUGACUGAUUCUUUGGCAAUGGUUGUUAUAUUAUUACGUAUACAUGCUAGUGAUUAGAUCUGUGUGUUUCUUCCUGCUGCAUAAGUAAAUCAAACUGCAUUACAUACACAGGACAGACGUAAGCAACUUUCUUUUGAUACACUCCCUUCGUGAACAGAAAAGGUGGAUCUCAACCUUCAUUGUGAUUUUAUCGGAAAAUAGGGCAUCGGGAUGAUAACCUGCAUAGUUUACAUGUGUGUGACUGUGAGUAUAGGAUAAGUGAAUCACUAAUUCUCUACUUAUGAACUUUGUUAUGGUCGAAGGAGAGUCAUCGAUAGUUAAGGUAUAAAUAUCAGCUGUUUAAAUUGCGCACGCACUACACACACGCACACAGACAUACCGACAUAUACACACACGCACGCACGCAGACAAACCGACAUAUACACACACGCACGUAGACAUACCGACACAUACGCACGCAGGCAUACCAACACAUAUACACACACAUAAACACCGCAAAUGUGUGUGUGUGUGUGAAAACAGUAUGAUUCAUAUUAUCAUUACUCAGAACUGAUAGGGCCAUCCUAUACUUUAACGUGAUACGAAACUAAGUGCCAACCAGGAAAUAAGGACGAUAUCUCUCUAUAUAUAAACGGCAGUUUGUCUGUGUGUGUUUCUGUGUGUCUGUUUGGUUGUACCCUCACUCUGACCACGGCUUUCAACCGAUUCUGAUGAAACUUGACACACACAUAGCCCAAUGUCAUAAUUCAAAACUAACGCAGCGAAAAUUUUGAAAAGUUCCCCCAGUUCUGAAAAAGAUCGAUAAAUUCGACAUGGGGUCGACAAUCAGAAACAAACCACAGAUGGUCUAGGGGACGCAACUCGACCUUUUUAACUAUCAAAAAAAAUUUACCAUAAUUUUUUUCCCCAUUUUUUUGCAAUUUUUUGGCUAUAACUCUCUAAAAAUGCUUUAUAGUUAUUUCCCUUACAAACCCGAGCAACGCCGGGCGAUACUGCUAGUUUAUCAUGUAUGGCAGUGCCUAAAAUUUGAGUCCUUGUGGCGAUGUUAGAAAUCGAUAUUAAAUUCCACGAGACGUCGACAAUCUGGCAGAAUUGUGACAGCAGCGAACAAAAUGCUUAGCGGCAUAUAGUCAUUACGUUCUGAGUUCAGUUUCCACCUGGAUCAUCUUUGCUUUCCAUCCUUCCGGAGAAUGAAUUUUUCUUAAAUGAAAGUUUCCAGACAUCUGAACUUCACAAUUAAUAAAAAUCGGUCAGUUUUAGCUAGAAUCUGCUUGCCUCGCUGAAAAUUCCACUUGAUAGCAGUAACAUUGAGCUGAGUCGCCUCCAUCUGAAACGCAACAGAAAAAGAACAGAAGCUCUGCAAUCCGCAACAAACCUUAUAACGUAACUAACAAAAAAAAAGCUUAAAGCGUCCAUAUGUAUGGAACACUUAUCCUCGUGUAUGUAUCUACAAUAUUGUCAGUAGGAUCAUUGGCAUAUACCUAGUAUGUGCGUAUGAAACUCUGGAAUCUUUAGGCAAACAAAAGAAAAAAUUUUUGUAAGGUCGGAUAAUGGGUGAAAACCUUAGAGCAUAAGGUAAAAUGCCUUUCGGUAUGCCGAGGCAAAUAUGCUGUUCAUCCUUCCACGAUGGAUAAAAAAAAAAAAGUGUCAACCAAGAAAUAAGGAUUGGCAGAAUCAAGGAAAUGUCGGACAGAGCACUUUGUCGUAUUUCGUUACGUCAUUUUUCUUCUUAAGUUCGAAUCCAACUCCGAUAGAUUUUUCUGUUUUUUGUCCAACGAAAGCUAAUCACCUCGUCAGUGUUAAGUACUGGGCUAAAUAUAAUUAAUUAUUUCUUCAAUCCAAACGUUUGGCCUUGUUAUUAAAAAGAAAAUUAAAGGCGGUGAGCUGGUAGAAUCGUUAGCACGCCGACGAAAUGCGCAGCUGUAUUUCGUCUGCCGUUACGUUCUAAGUUCAAAUUCCGCCGAAGUCGACUUUGCCUUUCCUCCAUUCGGGGUCGAUAAAUUAAGUACCAGUUAAGCACUGGGGUCGAUCUAAUCGACUUAAUCCGAUUGUCUGUCCGUUUUUUCUCCUCUGUGCUUAGCCCCUUGUGGGUAGUAAAGAAAUAAGUAUUUCGUCUGCCGCUACGUUUUGAGUUCAAAUUCCGCCAAGGUCGACUUUGCCUUUCAUCCCUUCGGGGUCGGUGAAAUAAGUACCAGUUACGCACUGAGGUCGAUGUAAUCGACUAUCCCCCUCCCACAAAUUUCAGGCCUUGUGCCUAUAUCAGAAAGGAUUAUAAAGGAAAUUGAUAUCGAAAUUCUUCAAAGACGAACUGCUCCUUUAAUAUUUAACAGAAUGUAUGCCGAUUUUUAUUAGUUUUGUCUGCAAGAAAGGGCAAAGCCCUUUGCAGGCUUUCUAAGAAUAAUACGAUUCGCGCCCUUAACGUUCACCUUAAAUUGUUUAUUUGUACGUGACGAUGUGGAGUACCUAACGUGUUAGAGUGUCCCAUGUAUGUGUACCUCUAUGUUUGUGCCUACGCAUGCUCUCUUCAUUUGAAAUUCUAAUGAUAAGUUUUAUUUUGCUGUAUUUUCAGGGCCAGACGAGGACCUCCGGCCAAUACAAGAUGUCUGGGUUUUCCCUGUGUAUACUCGCAAUUGAGCUCAAGACUCGGAAACAUUGCAGUAAAUAGAGCACUGAUGCAGAAGAUGCGAAAAUGUUUGGCGAAUCCAAGUUGCGUUCCUAACUAUACCGCAUCGAAUAAAUGAUGACAAUGAACUCCUUCGAUAGUCCGAAAAGCUGUCGAUUGAUUGGUCUUGACUUUACCGUGUUUUUGGUGGAGCUGCGGUUAUUUUGUGGGUUAAAGGAAAUAAAGAUCAGAAAUAAUUAAAAAAAAAAAUUUAAGACAAAAGCCAAAGAAAUGCAUAUAAUGUGUUUGUCUUUAUCUAGCUUGUUUGAAACACGAAAACAAGUUGAAAUAAUAUGUUUUGUCCCUUAGACAUCGUUCCUUGCAAACAUGUGCAUUUAUAUUUAUAAAUAAAUAAAUA